rnacentral:rRNA from 1 species
AGAGUUUGAUCAUGGCUCAGAUUGAACGCUGGCGGCAGGCCUAACACAUGCAAGUCGAACGGUAACAGGAAGAAGCUUGCUUCUUUGCUGACGAGUGGCGGACGGGUGAGUAAUGUCUGGGAAACUGCCUGAUGGAGGGGGAUAACUACUGGAAACGGUAGCUAAUACCGCAUAACGUCGCAAGACCAAAGAGGGGGACCUUCGGGCCUCUUGCCAUCGGAUGUGCCCAGAUGGGAUUAGCUAGUAGGUGGGGUAACGGCUCACCUAGGCGACGAUCCCUAGCUGGUCUGAGAGGAUGACCAGCCACACUGGAACUGAGACACGGUCCAGACUCCUACGGGAGGCAGCAGUGGGGAAUAUUGCACAAUGGGCGCAAGCCUGAUGCAGCCAUGCCGCGUGUAUGAAGAAGGCCUUCGGGUUGUAAAGUACUUUCAGCGGGGAGGAAGGGAGUAAAGUUAAUACCUUUGCUCAUUGACGUUACCCGCAGAAGAAGCACCGGCUAACUCCGUGCCAGCAGCCGCGGUAAUACGGAGGGUGCAAGCGUUAAUCGGAAUUACUGGGCGUAAAGCGCACGCAGGCGGUUUGUUAAGUCAGAUGUGAAAUCCCCGGGCUCAACCUGGGAACUGCAUCUGAUACUGGCAAGCUUGAGUCUCGUAGAGGGGGGUAGAAUUCCAGGUGUAGCGGUGAAAUGCGUAGAGAUCUGGAGGAAUACCGGUGGCGAAGGCGGCCCCCUGGACGAAGACUGACGCUCAGGUGCGAAAGCGUGGGGAGCAAACAGGAUUAGAUACCCUGGUAGUCCACGCCGUAAACGAUGUCGACUUGGAGGUUGUGCCCUUGAGGCGUGGCUUCCGGAGCUAACGCGUUAAGUCGACCGCCUGGGGAGUACGGCCGCAAGGUUAAAACUCAAAUGAAUUGACGGGGGCCCGCACAAGCGGUGGAGCAUGUGGUUUAAUUCGAUGCAACGCGAAGAACCUUACCUGGUCUUGACAUCCACGGAAGUUUUCAGAGAUGAGAAUGUGCCUUCGGGAACCGUGAGACAGGUGCUGCAUGGCUGUCGUCAGCUCGUGUUGUGAAAUGUUGGGUUAAGUCCCGCAACGAGCGCAACCCUUAUCCUUUGUUGCCAGCGGUCCGGCCGGGAACUCAAAGGAGACUGCCAGUGAUAAACUGGAGGAAGGUGGGGAUGACGUUAAGUCAUCAUGGCCCUUACGACCAGGGCUACACACGUGCUACAAUGGCGCAUACAAAGAGAAGCGACCUCGCGAGAGCAAGCGGACCUCAUAAAGUGCCUCGUAGUCCGGAUUGGAGUCUGCAACUCGACUCCAUGAAGUCGGAAUCGCUAGUAAAUCGUGGAUCAGAAUGCCACGGUGAAUACGUUCCCGGGCCUUGUACACACCGCCCGUCACACCAUGGGAGUGGGUUGCAAAAGAAGUAGGUAGCUUAACCUUCGGGAGGGCGCUUACCACUUUGUGAUUCAUGACUGGGGUGAAGUCGGAACAAGGUAACCGUAGGGGAACCUGCGGUUG